rnacentral:rRNA from 1 species
AAAUUAAUUGAAUUCAAUUUAAAAAAUGUAUUCAUUUUAAUACUUGGUCCUUUCGUACUAAAGUAUUACAAUUUAUUAAAGAUAGAAACCAACCUGGCUUACGCCGGUNUGAACUCAGAUCAUGUAAGAAUUUAAAAGUCGAACAGACUUAACAUUUAAGCGGCUACACCUAAAAAUAUAUCUUAAUCCAACAUCGAGGUCGCAAACUUUUUUAUCGAUAUGAACUCUCCAAAAAAAUUACGCUGUUAUCCCUAAAGUAACUUAAUCUUAUAAUCGUUAUUAACGGAUCAAUCAAUCAUAAAUUAAUGAUUUAUUAAAAUUAAAAGUUCAUUAAAUUUUAACAUCACCCCAACAAAAUAUUUUAUAAUAUAAAAAUAAAAAUAAUCCAAAAAACUUAUAUAAAAUAAAAUAUAAAGAUUUAUAGGGUCUUCUCGUCUUUUAAUAAAAUUUUAGCUUUUUGACUAAAAUAUAAAAUUCUAUAAUAAAUUUAUAUGAAACAGCUUAUACCUCG